rnacentral:tRNA from 1 species
GGGGAUAUGGCGAAAUUG